GGGGAUAUAGCUCAGUGGGUAGAGUGUGCCUGCCUCGCGUGCAUAGGCCCUGGGUUCAAUUCCCAGCAUCACCA
rnacentral:tRNA from 1 species